UACGUAGGGUGCGAGCGUUAAUCGGAAUUACUGGGCGUAAAGCGUGCGUAGGCGGUUCGUUAUGUCUGCUGUGAAAGCCCCGGGCUUAACCUGGGAAUGGCAGUGGAAACUGGUCAGCUGGAGGACGGUAGAGGCGAGUGGAAUUCCCGGUGUAGUGGUGAAAUGCGUAGAGAUCGGGAGGAACACCAGUGGCGAAGGCGGCUCGCUGGGCCGGUCCUGACACUGAGGCGCGAAGGCGUGGGGAGCGAACGGG
rnacentral:rRNA from 1 species